GGUCCGGGACAAUUGUCUGUCUGGCAGCAGCACAGCUGUACAAGCUGUAGUAUACGAAAAUGCAAUUAUACGAAACACGACCAAGAAGCCGAAACUAGAUAAGUAACGUUUGGAUUUGUUUAAUUUAUUAGGUUAAACUCGAUUAGCAUCGGGUUAAGUGCAGCGUUGCCUUGUUUGGUACUCCCGUCGGCCAUUCCUAUAGUCCACCGUGCAUUUAGUAGCUUUCAGUGUUCCAGAGGCACAUUCUGAUAUCUUUCCUCUAUCAAAAUGUCAUCUCACAAAGGAUUAGGAGCUCUUUUCAUUGCCACAAUACUCCUCACGGCAACAGCAGGUUGGUUAAAAGUCGGUUCCCCACUCAUUGUGUCGCCUCGGAUCGCAUGACUGACUGACUUUACUGCGCAAACCCGGACCUCCAACUGGAAUUUGACAUAGACAUGCUUGACGUGCGUGGAUUUGGCCGUUCCAGUCAUUCGGCACACAGAGAAGGAUCAUGCGUUCGAGCCUAGCCUUGACGCGUCAACCACCCCCGCCUUCCAUCCCCUCGCAUCUGUAUUGCAGUGGCAGCUGCCAAGGAACUUAGCCCCAAGCCCGAAGACAGCAAGAAGCAUGCUGAACGCCUCAAGCACGGCUCAAGCCCGAAGCCGAGCAAGGGUACCAAGCAUGGCCGCUCCCUGUGUAAGCGAGGGGCUUUGUAGCAGCUAGAGGCGCACCUAAAACUGCUUAUGUGUUCACGUUGCGGCCGCAUUUACACAAGCCUGAGCAGGGUGCGCACAUACAUAUAUACAGCAGCACAACCUCAAUGUGUUGUCAGCCUUGUAAUAUGGCAGAACGGUAGGGCACGUACAUCUUACUCUUGUCCCAUGAGGCCAUGGAUUGCUGCGUCAACAUUUGCAUCUGGCGGUUUAGCCACCCGCCGCACAUUGACCUCACGUUUGUGCAUCACUACAACCGCAUUUCCCCUGCCUUGCCCGCCUUCCUUCCUCUCAAAUCUUCUUGCAGUGGAAGCUGCCAGCGCAUUGAGCCCCAAGCCCACAGCCAGCUCCAAGCCUGCCCAUAGCCCUGAGCC
rnacentral:lncRNA from 1 species